UCCGUAGGUGGAUCAAUCAGUCAGAGGUGAAAUCCUGCAGCUUAACUGUAGAACUGCCUUUGAUACUGUUGAUCUUGAGUCAUUAUGAAGUGGUUAGAAUGUGUAGUGUAGCGGUGAAAUGCAUAGAUAUUACACAGAAUACCGAUUGCGAAGGCAGAUCACUAAUAAUGUACUGACACUGAGGGAAGAAAGCGUGGGGAGCGAACAGGAUUAGAUACCCUGGUAGUC
rnacentral:rRNA from 1 species